AUGUUCUCUGUAGCUCUGAUACUGCUGCUGGCAGCUGGAUCCUGUGUUGAUGGUCAGACAGAAUCUGAACCAGCAGUUAAAAGUCCUGGAGGAUCUCACAGAUUGACCUGUUCAUUCUCUGGACUUCAUGUUAGUGGCCACUAUAUGGCCUGGAUCAGACAUGCUCCUGGUAAAGGACUGGAGUGGCUCGCCUUGAUUCACAGUGAUGGCAGCAGCUACAUUGCAUACUCUCAGUCAGUCAGAGGGCGGUUUACCAUCUCCAGAGACAACAGCAGACAGCAGCUGUAUCUGCAGAUGAACAGUCUGAAGACUGAAGAUUCUGCUGUUUAUUAUUGUGAGAUGGCAGUCAGAGUCAAGUUUCUCUCUCCUCUGUCACUAUAA